AGGGAAACCGAGUCUUAACUGGGCGUUAAGUUGCAGGGUAUAGACCCGAAACCCGGUGAUCUAGCCAUGGGCAGGUUGAAGGUUGGGUAACACUAACUGGAGGACCGAACCGACUAAUGUUGAAAAAUUAGCGGAUGACUUGUGGCUGGGGGUGAAAGGCCAAUCAAACCGGGAGAUAGCUGGUUCUCCCCGAAAGCUAUUUAGGUAGCGCCUCGUGAACUCAUCUUCGGGGGUAGAGCACUGUUUCGGCUAGGGGGUCAUCCCGACUUACCAACCCGAUGCAAACUGCGAAUACCGAAGAAUGUUAUCACGGGAGACACACGGCGGGUGCUAACGUCCGUCGUGAAGAGGGAAACAACCCAGACCGCCAGCUAAGGUCCCAAAGUCACAGUUAAGUGGGAAACGAUGUGGGAAGGCUCAGACAGCCAGGAUGUUGGCUUAGAAGCAGCCAUCAUUUAAAGAAAGCGUAAUAGCUCACUGGUCGAGUCGGCCUGCGCGGAAGAUGUAACGGGGCUAAACUGUGCACCGAAGCUGCGGCAGCGACGCUUAUGCGUUGUUGGGUAGGGGAGCGUUCUGUAAGCCUGCGAAGGUGUCCUGUGAGGGAUGCUGGAGGUAUCAGAAGUGCGAAUGCUGACAUAAGUAACGAUAAUGCGGGUGAAAAGCCCGCUCGCCGGAAGACCAAGGGUUCCUGUCCAACGUUAAUCGGGGCAGGGUGAGUCGACCCCUAAGGCGAGGCCGAAAGGCGUAGUCGAUGGGAAACGGGUUAAUAUUCCCGUACUUGGUGUUACUGCGAAGGGGGGACGGAGAAGGCUAUGUUGGCCGGGCGACGGUUGUCCCGGUUUAAGCGUGUAGGUGUGUGUUCCAGGUAAAUCCGGUUCACUUUAACACUGAGGCGUGAUGACGAGGCACUACGGUGCUGAAGCAACAAAUGCCCUGCUUCCAGGAAAAGCCUCUAAGCAUCAGGUAACAUCAAAUCGUACCCCAAACCGACACAGGUGGUCAGGUAGAGAAUACCAAGGCGCUUGAGAGAACUCGGGUGAAGGAACUAGGCAAAAUGGUGCCGUAACUUCGGGAGAAGGCACGCUGACACGUAGGUGAAGU
rnacentral:rRNA from 1 species